CGCUGCGGAAUGCUUACCAUGCAAGUCGAACGGCAGCACGGACUUCGGUCUGGUGGCGAGUGGCGAACGGGCGAGUAAUGUAUCGGAACGUGCCCAGUAGCGGGGGAUAACUACGCGAAAGCGUGGCUAAUACCGCAUACGCCCUACGGGGGAAAGGGGGGGAUCGAAAGACCUCUCACUAUUGGAGCGGCCGAUAUCGGAUUAGCUAGUUGGUGGGGUAAAGGCUCACCAAGGCGACGAUCCGUAGCUGGUUUGAGAGGACGACCAGUCACACUGGGACUGAGACACGGCCCAGACUCCUACGGGAGGCAGCAGUGGGGAAUUUUGGACAAUGGGGGAAACCCUGAUCCAGCCAUUCCGCGUGUGCGAUGAAGGCCUUCGGGUUGUAAAGCACUUUUGGCGGGAAAGAAAUCGGUCGAGAUAAUACCUUGAUCGGAUGACGGUACCCGCAGAAUAAGCACCGGCUAACUACGUGCCAGCAGCCGCGGUAAU
rnacentral:rRNA from 1 species